AUUGAACGCUGGCGGCAGGCCUAACACAUGCAAGUAGAGCGGAGCGGCGGACGGGUGAGUAAUGCCUAGGAAUCUGCCUGGUAGUGGGGGAUAAGGGCCGGAAACGGGAGCUAAUACCGCAUACUAUCAGAUGAGCCUAGGUCGGAUUCGCUAGUUGGUGGGGUAAAGGACUACCAAGGCGACGAUCCUUAACUGUACUGAGAGGAUGAGCAGUCACACUGGAACUGAGACACGGUCCAGACUCCUACGGGAGGCAGCAGUGGGGAAUAUUGGACAAUGGGCGAAAGCCUGAUCCAGCCAUGACGCGUGUUUGAAGAAGGUCUUCGGAUUGUAAAGCACUUUAAGUUGGGAGGCGUUACCAACAGAAUAAGCACCGGCUAACUUCGUGCCAGCCGCCGCGGUAAUUC
rnacentral:rRNA from 1 species